CUAUAUUUAUGUCCAUAGACUGUAUGUGUUUUACUCUUUUAAAAAAAACACAUUUUUAAAAAAUGUUUUCUUGUGACUGGCAUAGAAUGAGCGAUACCUGGAGCUGACUGCUAAACUCCUUGAUUCCAGAGCACAAGCUGCUGCCACCAAGCAGGAUAAAGACAAACAGGGCCAGAAAGAGGCUCAGAGAAUAAGGGGAAAUCAGCAAGAAUUCCCUGUGUGGAGUCGCGGACAGGGGAAGCCACCAAACUGCUGAGCUGUACAAGAGGACAGUCUGUUAAAGAACAUCAGCCACAUUAUUGUGGAUGAAGUACAAAUUAAUAGCCCUCCAUUCAAUCCUUUCCAGCCAAGACCAGGCUGAAGCAUUCAUACUGCCACCUGCUGGGACAAGAAAGAUGACACAAUUUUGAAUAUCAUCAGAGAACUAAUGAAAACAGAAUGAUAAAGCCUCACGGGAUUCCUUAGGACUGCUGCUCAGUGGACAAGGGAAGAGCGCGGGGGAUUCUAUUUUAAAUAUUGUACUCUUUCAGCUGCACUCAAACAUUUCCUUUGCAUGCAAAGGGCAGCUUUUCAGUGUUGCAUGGUGUAUUAAAGAGAUUUGCUUGUUAUUUUUUUCAUGAAUCGAUUUAAAUGAUAUCGGAUUUGCAAUAAAAUCACAGUGCCAAACCUGUUUUGUCUUAUAAGGUGAUUUUCAAUCCUUGUCCAAAGUAUAAAUCAUUUAUAUCUCAUCCUGAUCAUUUAUAACUCAUCCUGAUUCUAUACGACAGCAAACAUACAGUCUGUUAUGCAGAAAUCUCUGAGUUACGGAGAGACUGUCUCCCAUAGACUCCAU